CUUGUACUCCCUCCGUCCGAAAAUACUUGUCAUUGAAAUGGAUGUAUCUAGAUGUAUUUUAGUUCUAGACACAUCCAUUUUUAUGACAAGUAAUUCCGGACGGAGGGAGUACUUA
rnacentral:pre_miRNA from 1 species